rnacentral:rRNA from 1 species
AGAUUGAACGCUGGCGGCAGGCCUAACACAUGCAAGUCGAGCGGUAGAGAGGUGCUUGCACCUCUUGAGAGCGGCGGACGGGUGAGUAAUGCCUAGGAAUCUGCCUAGUGGUGGGGGAUAACGUUCGGAAACGGACGCUAAUACCGCAUACGUCCUACGGGAGAAAGCGGGGGACCUUCGGGCCUCGCGCCAUUAGAUGAGCCUAGGUCGGAUUAGCUAGUUGGUGAGGUAAUGGCUCACCAAGGCGACGAUCCGUAACUGGUCUGAGAGGAUGAUCAGUCACACUGGAACUGAGACACGGUCCAGACUCCUACGGGAGCAGCAGUGGGAAUAUUGGACAAGUGGGCGAAAGCCUGAUCCAGCCAUGCCGCGUGUGUGAAGAGGUCUUCGGAUUGUAAGCUACUUUAAGUGGAGGUAGGGUUGUAACUUAAUACGUUGCUAAACGUUUGGACGUUACCGAUAAGAAUAAGCACCGGUCUAACUUCGU